CCUACGGGAGGCAGCAGUGGGGAAUAUUGCACAAUGGGGGAAACCCUGAUGCAGCGACGCCGCGUGAGUGAAGAAGUAAUUCGUUAUGUAAAGCUCUAUCAGCAGGGAAGAAAAUGACGGUACCUGAGUCAGAAGCCCCGGCUAACUACGUGCCAGCAGCCGCGGUAAUACGUAGGGGGCAAGCGUUAUCCGGAGUUACUGGGUGUAAAGGGAGCGUAGACGGCAGUGCAAGUCUGGUGUGAAAGGCGGGGGCUCAACCCCCGGACUGCUCUGGAAACUGUACGGCUGGAGUGCAGGAGAGGUAAGUGGAAUUCGUAGUGUAGCGGUGAAAUGCGUAGAUAUUAGGAGGAACACCAGUGGCGAAGGCGGCUUACUGGACUGUAACUGACGUUGAGGCUCGAAAGCGUGGGGAGCAAACAGGAUUAGAUACCCGAGUAGUC
rnacentral:rRNA from 1 species